CGGCCAUCCGCUCACAGACGACGUUGACGGAGGAAGCCACAUCCGGGUAUGUAGCGCUGCGUCCUCUCCUCCAUCUCCCGCUGCAUCCUCCACCCUGCAGAUAAACAGGAGGACAGACGGACAGACAGACGGACAGACAGACAGACAGCUGGAUCUCUUUCGGCUUCAGGUUCGUUUUCUUCUUUCUCGUGAUCGUAAUUUCAGAUCGGUCCGUUUCUCUUUAACUGACGACAGACAGACAGAGAGACAGACAGAGAGACAGACAGAGAGACAGACAGAGAGACGGGGAGAGAGACGGGGAGAGAGACAGGGAGCGAGACAGCAAAGAGACAGGGGCGAGAGACAGGCAGAGAGACAGGGCGAGAGACAGCAGAGAGACAGACAGAGAGACAGCAGAGAGACGGGGAGAGAGACAGGGAAAGAGACAGCAGAGAGACAGGGCGAGAGACAGCAGAGAGACAGGGAAAGAGACAGCAGAGAGACAGGGGAAAGGCAAUACAAACAUGAACUAAUAUUUGUUAAAUGUUUAUUUAGUUUCUAAAUAAUUAACAUGACAAUUGUCCCUCACAACUUGUUUACUAAUGACCAGACAAUAAUAUCAAUCAGAAUACUAUUACUGAUCAUAUUGUAGUAGUGUAUAUUAUUGAUCAUUUUGUUGUCAAUAAUAUAAAUAUGAUCAAUGAUAAGAUUUAUCUUCAAUAUCAAUAAUAGUGUAAAUAUUUUUAUUGAUAUAAUCACAUCACAUGUCAUUUAUCUGACGCUUUUAUCCAAAGCAACUUACAAUAAGAACAUUUAACCAUAAGGACACAAACUCAGAAGAACAAGAAACAAGAAAGUGUGAUUUCAUAAAUUAAACCGAUAUGAUAUCUGUUAUCUAUAGCAAGUUGUAUAAGUCCAAUGUCAGUGCUGCAGUCAGUUAGUGUGUUAGUGGAGGUAGAGUGUGAAGAGGUGUGUCUUUAGUCUGAAGAUGUGAAGGCUCUCUGUGGUCCUGAUGUCUUCAGAGACCUCCUUCCACCAUUUAGGAGCAGGACAGCAAAGAGUGGAGAUCUAGUCGAGUGUUUUGCUCUCAGUGAGGAGGAACAAGCAGUUUAUCACAUGCAGAGAGGAGAG
ensembl:lncRNA